rnacentral:rRNA from 1 species
CCUACGGGAGGCUGCAGUGGGGAAUAUUGGACAAUGGGGGCAACCCUGAUCCAGCCAUGCCGCGUGUGUGAAGAAGGCCCUCGGGUUGUAAAGCACUUUCAGUGAGGAAGAACGCCUGGUGGUUAAUACCCAUCAGGAAAGACAUCACUCACAGAAGAAGCACCGGCUAACUCCGUGCCAGCAGCCGCGGUAAUACGGAGGGUGCGAGCGUUAAUCGGAAUUACUGGGCGUAAAGCGCGCGUAGGUGGCUUGAUAAGCCGGUUGUGAAAGCCCCGGGCUCAACCUGGGAACGACAUCCGGAACUGUCAAGCUAGAGUGCAGGAGAGGAAGGUAGAAUUCCCGGUGUAGCGGUGAAAUGCGUAGAGAUCGGGAGGAAUACCAGUGGCGAAGGCGGCCUUCUGGACUGACACUGACACUGAGGUGCGAAAGCGUGGGUAGCAAACAGGAUUAGAUACCCUUGUAGUC